rnacentral:rRNA from 1 species
AGAGCAUAGGGUGAAUGCCUUGGCACCAGAAGCCGAUGAAGGACGUGGUAAGCGACGAUAUGCCUCGGGGAGCUGCAAACAAGCUUCGAUCCGGGGAUUUCCGAAUGGGGAAACCUGCCUAGAUAAACUCUAGGUAUCAUCUACUGAAUACAUAGGUAGGUGAGGGAACACCAGGAGAACUGAAACAUCUAAGUAUCCUGAGGAAAAGAAAGAAAAAUCGAUUCUCCAAGUAGCGGCGAGCGAACGGGGAACAGCCCAAACCAGGUAUUCAACUGAACUUUGUUCAGUUGGAAAUUGUAAAUUAUGAAUUGUGAAUUUUAAAUUAAAAGAUGUUAAAGCAAUCAAGUAAAUAACACUUUAAUUCACAAUUUAAAAUUUAACAUUUUAAAUUUUCAACUCAGCAAGGCUGAGUUGAAUACCUGGGGUUGCGGACUGGCACAACUUAAGUCAAUCUUGUAGUCGAAGGACCUGGAAAGGUCUACCAUAGAAGGUGAUAGUCCUGUAGGCGAAACAAGAUAACUUAAAGCCAUGAUCCAGAGUACCAUGGGACACGUGAAAUCCUGUGGGAAGCAGGGGGGACCACCCCCCAAGGCUAAAUACUAUCUGGUGACCGAUAGUGAAGAAGUACCGUGAGGGAAAGGUGAAAAGAACCCCGGGAGGGGAGUGAAAUAGAAUCUGAAACCCUAUGUUUACAAGCAGUGGAAGCACUUUAUAUGUGCGACCGCGUACUUUUUGUAGAACGGGCCAGCGAGUUACGAUAUGCAGCAAGGUUAAGCUGUUAAGCAGCGAAGCCGUAGGGAAACCAAGUCUAAAUAGGGCGUUUAGUUGCAUAUCGUAGACCCGAAACCGGGUGACCUACCCAUGGGCAGAGUGAAACGAAAGUAAAAUUUCGUGGAGGCUCGAACCGUUUAGCGUUGAAAAGCUAUCGGAUGACCUGUGGGUAGCGGUGAAAUUCCAAUCGAACCCGGAGAUAGCUGGUUCUCCUCGAAAUAGCUUUAGGGCUAGCCUCAAGAAUAGUGACGUGGGGGUAGAGCACUGAAUGGUCUAGGGGCACAUAGUGUUACCAAAACCUAUCAAACUCCGAAUACCAUAGUCAUGUUUCUUGGGAGUCAGACUGCGGGAGAUAAGUUUCGUAGUCAAAAGGGAAACAGCCCAGAUCACCAGCUAAGGUCCCUAAGUACAGGUUAAGUGGGAAAGGAUGUAAGGUUACACAGACAACCAGGAUGUUGGCUUAGAAGCAGCCACUCAUUCAAAGAGUGCGUAAUAGCUCACUGGUCGAGUGACCUUGCGCCGAAGAUUACCGGGGCUAAAACCUGUCACCGAAGCUGUGGGAUGCAUUUGCAUCGGUAGAGGAGCAUUCUGUACGGGCUGAAGCUACACCGUAAGGAGUGGUGGACUGUACAGAAGAGAGAAUGCUGGCAUGAGUAGCGAUAAGGUAAGUGAGAAUCUUACCCGUCGAAAGCCUAAGGUUUCCUGAGGAAGGCUCGUCCGCUCAGGGUUAGUCGGGACCUAAGCCCAGGCCAAAUGGCGUAGGCGAUGGACAACAGGUUGAUAUUCCUGUACUACCUAUAUGCGUUUGAGAGAUGGGGUGACGCAGGAGGAUAAGCUGAGCGCACCGUUGGUUGUGUGCGCCCAAACUAGUAGGAAGCUCCUAUAGGCAAAUCCGUAGGAGAGUUCCGAGAAGUGAUGGGGAGCGAAAAAUAAGUAGUGAAGCAGCUGAUUCCACACUGCCAAGAAAAGCCUCUAUCGAGUAUAUUAGGUACCCGUACCGCAAACCAACACAGGUAGGCGAGGAGAAAAUCCUAAGACGUUCGGAAGAACUCUUGUUAAGGAACUCGGCAAAAUAGCCCCGUAACUUCGGGAGAAGGGGUGCCGGUUAAAGUGAAGUACUUGCUACGUAAGCUUUGACUGGUCGCAGUGAAUGGGCCCAAGCGACUGUUUACCAAAAACACAGGUCUCUGCUAAGUCGAAAGACGAUGUAUAGGGGCUGACACCUGCCCGGUGCUGGAAGGUUAAGGGGAAGGGUUAGCUGUAAAGCGAAGCUCCGAACUUAAGCCCCAGUAAACGGCGGCCGUAACUAUAACGGUCCUAAGGUAGCGAAAUUCCUUGUCGGGUAAGUUCCGACCCGCACGAAAGGCGUAACGACUUGGGCACUGUCUCAACAAGAGAUCCGGUGAAAUUGUAGUACUCGUGAAGAUGCGAGUUACCCGCGACAGGACGGAAAGACCCCGUGGAGCUUUACUGUAGGCUGACAUUGGAUUUUGGUAUUGCCUGUACAGGAUAGGUGGGAGACUGAGAAACCAGAGCGCCAGCUUUGGUGGAGUCGUCCUUUGGAUACCACUCUUGCAAUGCUGAAAUUCUAACCAGAGACUGUGAAUCCAGUCUUGGGACACUGUCAGUUGGGCAGUUUGACUGGGGCGGUCGCCUCCCAAAGAGUAACGGAGGCGCUCAAAGGUUCCCUCAGCACGGUCGGAAAUCGUGCGAAGAGUGUAAAGGCAUAAGGGAGCUUGACUGCGACACCUACAAGUGGAGCAGGAACGAAAGUUGGACUUAGUGAUCCGGUGGCACCGAGUGGAAGGGCCAUCGCUCAACGGAUAAAAGCUACCCCGGGGAUAACAGGCUUAUCUCCCCCAAGAGUCCACAUCGACGGGGAGGUUUGGCACCUCGAUGUCGGCUCGUCUCAUCCUGGGGCUGGAGUAGGUCCCAAGGGUUGGGCUGUUCGCCCAUUAAAGAGGCACGCGAGCUGGGUUCAGAACGUCGUGAGACAGUUCGGUCCCUAUCCGUCGUGGGCGUAGGAAAUUUGAGAGGAGCUGUCCCUAGUACGAGAGGACCGGGAUGGACAGACCGCUGGUGCAUCAGUUGUCUCGCCAGAGGCACAGCUGAGUAGCUAUGUCUGGAAGGAAUAAGUGCUGAAGGCAUCUAAGCACGAAGUCUCCCUCAAGAUGAGAUUUCCCACUUUUU